AUACGGAGGGGGCUAGCGUUGUUCGGAAUUACUGGGCGUAAAGCGUACGUAGGCGGACUGAUCAGUUGGGGGUGCAAUCCCAGGGCUUAACUCUGGAACUGCCUUCAAUACUGUCAGUCUUGAGAUUGGAAGAGGUGAGUGGAAUUCCUAGUGUAGAGGUGAAAUUCAUAGAUAUUAGGAGGAACACCAGUGGCGAAGGCGGCUCACUGGUCCAAUACUGACGCUGAGGUACGAAAGCGUGGGGAGCAAACAGGAUUAGAAACCCUAGUAGUCC
rnacentral:rRNA from 1 species